AUAGUGUGUGUGUGUGUGUGUGUGUGUGUGUGUGUGUGAGAUGCUUGCCCUGGAAGGAGAAGGGGCUUAUUUGGCAUGUCAUGGCAGGUGAAGGUCUGAGUCAGGGUUCAGGGCCCAUGUGCCAACCACAUGGAAUGUCACCACCUCCUGGAGUGCCUGUUCCCCCUGCUCGGCCGCUGGCAUCUCCUCCAAGGCCCCAGUUCCUCCCUCUGGCUAGUCCUCUGUGGUUGCGUUCCUUGGACGGAACGGUUUGUUUUCCCUUCCAGUCCAUCCUUCUAUAAUUGUUUCCAUGUAUUUCCCUUGAUUUGCAGUUUGCAAUCCAUCCCCGCCCUCCUCCACUCCCCUGCCCAGGACCUAGCUCCAUUCUGGGACCGCAGAUGGAGGGCCCGCAGCCGGGCAAGGAGACAACGGAGCUAGGUGAGGACCACGACGCACAAGGCGCCUCUCCAGUCACGGAGCCCUCCCAAGUCUGCUGGAAAGCUAAGACUUACAUGAAACAACAGGACCCUGGGAUCUAUUAUGUCCAUUGAUUAGACAAUCUGCCUGAGGCUCCUAGAAGGCUGAUGCUUCUGGGAAAUGGGUGAAUCCAAUAAUGGCUUCAGAGAAACAGAAUUCAAGAGACAGAACUUGGGACCGGAAAUGCAUCUCGAUGUCUGUUGGGAAAGCCGGGACACAGCAGGCGGGAGCAGCAUUGCCUGAUGACGCCUUCCUGCCCACCGCACCCUCCUGUAGGGCCUUUGUCCACACCGGCCCUGCUCAUCUGCCAGCCACGGAUGCCCUCACGUGCGGGGCACACCGGCCCCCAUGCAAAUCUAGCCAGGCUGAUCCCUGCCCCGGCAGCUGAAAGUCUCCUAAUAAACAAGUGUUGGUUUGCCGAACAGGAGAGACCCUUGACGUCAGGGGUAGAACUUUCUGGGAGGAAAACACUUCAUUUCCAGGGCAAGUGUUGCUCAGCUGCUCUGAGACUCAAACAUGUUCUCAGCCUCACUGUCAGCAGGGCUGCAGGACACCAACCACAGGAGGAGGAGGCAGCAUGGGUGUGUCCAGCUUCUGGGGCGGUGUGGGGUUGGGGGGCAGCUCAAAGAGCACUGGACCAGGAGUCCUGAGACCCAAAUGAGAGAGCACUAACAACAACAAUAAUAAUAACGAUAACCAGAUGCUUGUUCGUUUAUUGAGGGCUUACUAUGUACCGGGCAUGGUCGGAACAUCUGGUGCACCCAGCCCUUUGAAGAAAUUUUCUACCGUUCCCAGUCUGCAAAAGGGGAAAUAAGGCUCAGGAGGUUGGAGAUGAUAGGAAGUCUUCCCUGCGGAAGUGGUACUCUGCCUGGAGUCUGAAGGAUGAAUUAGAUGUUAAGUAAGUGAGGAGGGGGAGGGAAAAACAUUGUAGCCAGCAGGGACAGCAUGUGCAAAGGGCCUGUGGUGGGCAUAAGUCUGGUGAGGCUGAACCCCGAGAGGAGCAAGUUCCAUGUGUCUGGAGGGAGGGGUACUGUGGGUUACAGGGAGCUGACAGGGGCUCGUCCCUGUGGCUCCUGUGGGGUUUGGGCCUUCAUUCUAAGACCUCAGAAGCCAUGAAAUCUUUAAAGAAAGAUGUGACAGGCUCAGAUCUGGGUUUUUGAAAGCUCCCUCUGGUGACCCCAGAGUUGGGUGGACAGUGGCCUCAGGAUGGGAAUGCAUACAGCUGAGACUUCAUGUCAACCAAUCUUGCCCAGGGCAGCCCCAGGGGGAGGCUGGGACCUGCAUAGCCUGUUAGGAGGCAGGGAGCCAGGAGCCUCCCUUACCCCCAAGCUGGUGGGCUCAUUUACAUGAUCCCAGCUUAAUUCUCCCAGGGUAUGCAAAUGUAUGCAAACCACGAUCCAGGAGAGGCAAAAAUAGCAGGGCGCAUUAGCAUCCCCCACAGGAAUAUUGUUUUAUGCAAAAGAUGAGCUUGGGGCCUGCUGAGUGGGCGGCAAUGGAAGAUGCCAGGGAGUCCAACCUCCUGGCCUGUGCCCUCCAGGGUCCCGGCCAGGUCCCUGCUGCCAGGGA